rnacentral:rRNA from 1 species
UGCAAGUCGAACGAUGAUGCCCAGCUUGCUGGGUGGAUUAGUGGCGAACGGGUGAGUAACACGUGAGUAACCUGCCCUUGACUUCGGGAUAACUCCGGGAAACCGGGGCUAAUACCGGAUAUGAGCUACCUUCGCAUGGGGGUGGUUGGAAAGUUUUUCGGUCAAGGAUGGGCUCGCGGCCUAUCAGCUUGUUGGUGGGGUGAUGGCCUACCAAGGCGACGACGGGUAGCCGGCCUGAGAGGGCGACCGGCCACACUGGGACUGAGACACGGCCCAGACUCCUACGGGAGGCAGCAGUGGGGAAUAUUGCACAAUGGGCGAAAGCCUGAUGCAGCGACGCCGCGUGAGGGAUGAAGGCCUUCGGGUUGUAAACCUCUUUCAGCAGGGAAGAAGCGCAAGUGACGGUACCUGCAGAAGAAGCGCCGGCUAACUACGUGCCAGCAGCCGCGGUAAUACGUAGGGCGCAAGCGUUGUCCGGAAUUAUUGGGCGUAAAGAGCUCGUAGGCGGUUUGUCGCGUCUGGUGUGAAAUCUCGAGGCUCAACCUCGAGCUUGCAUCGGGUACGGGCAGACUAGAGUGCGGUAGGGGAGACUGGAAUUCCUGGUGUAGCGGUGGAAUGCGCAGAUAUCAGGAGGAACACCGAUGGCGAAGGCAGGUCUCUGGGCCGCAACUGACGCUGAGAGCGAAAGCAUGGGGAGCGAACAGGAUUAGAUACCCUGGUAGUCCAUGCCGUAAACGUUGGGCACUAGGUGUGGGGCUCAUUCCACGAGUUCGUGCCGCA